CCGGCCAUGCCACAGCAUCCAGGGAAAGCAGCUCAUCCACUCCUUCCCGGGGAGCAGAGGCUGCUGGGGGCCGCGGCCCUGGCACGGGGAUGCCGGUUGCUCCCUCCCACAGCUUCCCCUUUUCUCAGAAAGCCUGGAAACCAAAGGUGAAAGAAGUGGGUGGAAACUCCGCGCGCUGCCGGCCAGGAAGAGCAGUGAGUAAGCCAGCGGCGAUAUUUAACAGUGCCUCCGGCCCCGCUGCUCGCACUCGCCUCGAUGGAGCCGGAGCUGACGGAUGGAGAAUGCAGCCGGCCGGAGCCAGGGGAAGCUGACUCGCACUGGCUGCUUGGCUCUGAGAACUGAAUUCCAUAGGCGUUAAAGCUUCCCAAAAUGCCCUAUGGAUUCAGUUCUGCAGCUGGGCAGCAAAUGAGCCUCAAUCCUCCAGGAAGAGAAUGGGACUGAGUAUUGCUCCUGCGCAGAGACCAGAGUAUGGAUGGAGGUGAGUUACAGCCACCAUGGGAAAACCACUCAAGGCAGUGGCAGUUUGUAUCAGGCUUUCUCUCAACCCCAACUACAAUAAGCUUUCUUCCAUCUGGAAGUGAAAUGGCACUUGGGACAACAAAUGUGUUGCUACCUCCUGA